AUGAGGGUGAUGGUGACCAGGGGGGAGGAAGACGUCUCAGACGAAAAUGAUGAACAUGGAGAGAGCAGAGAUUUCCUUCCCACCACUGCACUGGUUACUGAGAAAGACAUCUCUAAAGAUAAGAGACGAGAUUUCCUGUCUGAGCUGGGUCUGGAGAAGGAAGAGGAGGAGCAGGACUCUUGGGACUCUGAGUCUCACUCUGAAAACCCCAAUAUGCCACGUGCACGGAAACAAAGCAUGCACACUCAGGAUCAAGAACAGAUGCCCACCGUCAAGGCAAAGAGCAAAGAAAACUUGUUUUAUAUUCCCUCUUUUUUAAGAGGAGAAAGAGGCAAUGGGAUGGCGGUUCUAGAACCUCGGAGGAGUGUAGGCAGGCCAAGAGGCAGCCAGGUUGAGAUCAAUGAUGGGAGUAAUGGAGGUCAACAUGUUGAGGAAGAUGUUACCACACAGAAAGAGACUGAGAAGACUAAAUGGGAAACCCUUCGUGUUCUGAACAAACUUGAAGGAGAUGGCGAACAAAAGACGGACUUAAUGGAAGAGCUUGGUCUCGGUAAUGUUGAUGAUUUUGAAGAUGCAUCAGACUGGGACUCCGCCAGCACCGCCAGUAGGAGAACCCUGCCUGGGAGCCGAGAGCAGUUCCCGGAAUGCAUCUAUCCGUCUGUCAAAGAGCAGGAUGAGGAAGCUGUUCCGGCAGCACCCUUGACCCCUGAGAGGAGCAUCAAUUCCCACAAGACGAUGCCCACCACGCCCCAGCAGCCUGGGCCCCAACCCCAACCCCAACCCCAACCCCUGCCUCGAGCAAGGAAGAUGGUGCUUCAGAAAGCAGAAAGUGAAGGAGAAUCCGAUUUGGAGCAAGACAAUGUUGAGUCCACCUGCAAUUCAGACAAAAUUCAGUUGCAAAAUAUAGCUGAGCUUCAGACAGGGGUCCCACCAGGUUUCCCUCAGCGACCACCGAUGGCCAAAGACAGUAAAAAGGUAGAGUUGCAAAAGGAGAUAGAUGAUGCAAUAGAUACAUGUGAGUUAGAUCUGAAUGGCCCCUGUGGAUCUGGCCCUGUGAGCUCCGGCGGUAGAGAGAGGGAUGCACACUUUAGAGCUCAACGCAACCCCGAAGAAAGAAACAAAGCGGGGGAUAUCGUUCCAUGGGAGAAUCGUUACGAGAAGCUCUGGGUAGAGGUGGAGAAAAGAGAGGUCAAAUCCACCUUCAAGCACGUUGCCGGGGAAUUGAAAGAGAAGUUCGGAGAACUGCUUAAAUCGAGAAGCUCUGCUGGAGACGUCGCAGAAGACGAACCGGCCGAAUCUACUCCUGCGGAAGAAGAGUCGAGUGGUGAUGAGGACGAAGGGGAGGUCAUUGUGCGCCCAAUGGC
ensembl:lncRNA